AGGCAGGGGGAAUGGGGAGGGGACGGUAGCGUCAGCCUACACCCACACGCAGUUUCCUGAUAAAAGGUCCUUUGGAAACUUUGAUUCUCUUCUCACCAAGUUGAACGGAGAUGUGUUCCCAUAGUAAGAGUGAGGCCCCUGCAUUUGCUGCCCUCGGUUUUCCCAACUAACACCAGGGCCUCCCCCCUGUACCCCAUUCAUAUGCCUCAGAAGCUGACAAUGACUGUUGGGCUUUUCCAAUGAAUACCAGAACACCAUUUCCUGCAGCCUGAAAAGAAGACAGUAUAAUUGUUUGGCAGCAAGAGGUGAGCAUGGCAUGGAACACAGCCUCCUCUGUGCCCAGGACCAGCUGGCUCUCUGCUCAGCUCCAUAAACUACUAUCUGAUUCAGUAUCAGAGGACAGAGGAUCCAAGUUGUGAAAUCAUAAAAUGUCAGCAUCUAACCUUCUAAUGUAGCAAAAGUGAUGUCUCAGUACCUCCAGUCUACGUCAUAAGAAGCCUUAUCAUUUCCACUUGUGUCUCUUGGGAUGCUCUCUCUCAGAAUCCAGGUGCCCUUCCAUGAGAAGCCCAAGCCAUGUGGAGAAGCCACGUCUAGGGACUCCAGUUAACACUCUCAGCUGAGUCCCCAGCUGACAGUCAGCAUCAACUGCCAGCCACCUCUGUCUAAAAGUGGGCUAUCUUGGGCAUCCAGCCCAGUCAAGCCUUCAGAUGAGUCCAGUCCCAGCCACUAUCUCACACAACCACACGAGAGACAUCAAGAACUCCCAGUGGAGUCCAGUCAGCCCAUGGAACUGCAAGAGACAGGAUCUCGCUGCGUUGCUCAGACUGGUCUCGAACUCCUGGGCUUAAGGGAUUCUCCUGCCUCAAUCACAGCCUCCCAAGUAGCUGAGAUUAAAAGUGCUCACCACCGUGCCAGCGAGUUCAGUUUUUGAGGGUGGAGCCAAGACUCUGAGGAGAGGGCUGAACUGUGAACCUAGAAGUACCAUCUCCCCCUGCACACACCUUUGGUCAAGUUGACCCCAAGAAGAAGGACAAGUCCUCUGCACGGCGAUGAGGCCAUACACACAGUCUGUGGCCCGGCUUUGGGAGACUGAUGGGACAAAGGAUGUUUUGCACGAUCCUUGGUCUCUGAGCAAAUAUAUACAUGGGUUAAC
rnacentral:lncRNA from 1 species